GAUGAACGCUAGCGGCAGGCUUAAUACAUGCAAGUCGAACGGGAUUGAGAAGCUUGCUUUUCAUGAGAGUGGCGCACGGGUGCGUAACACGUAUGCAACCUACCUUGUCCAGGGGGAUAGCCCGUUGAAAGACGGAUUAAGACCGCAUAACAUUGAGCUGUGGCAUCACAAAUCAAUCAAAUAUUUAUAGGGACAAGAUGGGCAUGCGCCUGAUUAGGUAGUUGGCGGGGUAAUGGCCAACCAAGCCGACGAUCAGUAGGGGAUCUGAGAGGAUGAACCCCCACACUGGUACUGAGACACGGACCAGACUCCUACGGGAGGCAGCAGUAAGGAAUAUUGGUCAAUGGGCGAAAGCCUGAACCAGCCAUGCCGCGUGCAGGAAGACGGCCCUACGGGUUGUAAACUGCUCUUAUACGGGAAUAACCCCGGUUUCGUGAAACCGGCUGAAUGUACCGUAAGAAUAAGGAUCGGCUAACUCCGUGCCAGCCGCCGCAGUAA
rnacentral:rRNA from 1 species